GGGUUGUGAGGUUAAGCGACUAAGCGUACACGGUGGAUGCCCUGGCAGUCAGAGGCGAUGAAGGACGUGCUAAUCUGCGAAAAGCGUCGGUAAGGUGAUAUGAACCGUUAUAACCGGCGAUGUCCGAAUGGGGAAACCCAGUGUGAUUCGUCACACUAUCGUUAACUGAAUACAUAGGUUAACGAGGCGAACCGGGGGAACUGAAACAUCUAAGUACCCCGAGGAAAAGAAAUCAACCGAGAUUCCCCCAGUAGCGGCGAGCGAACGGGGAGCAGCCCAGAGUCUGAAUCAGCUUGUGUGUUAGUGGAACGGUCUGGAAAGUCCGACGGUACAGGGUGAUAGUCCCGUACACCAAAAUGCACAGGCUGUGAACUCGAAGAGUAGGGCGGGACACGUGGUAUCCUGUCUGAAUAUGGGGGGACCAUCCUCCAAGGCUAAAUACUCCUGACUGACCGAUAGUGAACCAGUACCGUGAGGGAAAGGCGAAAAGAACCCCGGCGAGGGGAGUGAAAAAGAACCUGAAACCGUGUACGUACAAGCAGUGGGAGCACCUUCGGGUGUGACUGCGUACCUUUUGUAUAAUGGGUCAGCGACUUAUAUUCUGUAGCAAGGUUAACCGUAUAGGGGAGCCGCAGGGAAACCGAGUCUUAACUGGGCGUUAAGUUGCAGGGUAUAGACCCGAAACCCGGUGAUCUAGCCAUGGGCAGGUUGAAGGUUGGGUAACACUAACUGGAGGACCGAACCGACUAAUGUUGAAAAAUUAGCGGAUGACUUGUGGCUGGGGGUGAAAGGCCAAUCAAACCGGGAGAUAGCUGGUUCUCCCCGAAAGCUAUUUAGGUAGCGCCUCGUGAAUUCAUCUUCGGGGGUAGAGCACUGUUUCGGCUAGGGGGUCAUCCCGACUUACCAACCCGAUGCAAACUACGAAUACCGAAGAAUGUUAUCACGGGAGACACACGGCGGGUGCUAACGUCCGUCGUGAAGAGGGAAACAACCCAGACCGCCAGCUAAGGUCCCAAAGUCAUGGUUAAGUGGGAAACGAUGUGGGAAGGCACAGACAGCCAGGAUGUUGGCUUAGAAGCAGCCAUCAUUUAAAGAAAGCGUAAUAGCUCACUGGUCGAGUCGGCCUGCGCGGAAGAUGUAACGGGGCUAAACCAUGCACCGAAGCUGCGGCAGCGACACUAUGUGUUGUUGGGUAGGGGAGCGUUCUGUAAGCCUGCGAAGGUGACCUGUGAGGGUUGCUGGAGGUAUCAGAAGUGCGAAUGCUGACAUAAGUAACGAUAAAGCGGGUGAAAAGCCCGCUCGCCGGAAGACCAAGGGUUCCUGUCCAACGUUAAUCGGGGCAGGGUGAGUCGACCCCUAAGGCGAGGCCGAAAGGCGUAGUCGAUGGGAAACAGGUUAAUAUUCCUGUACUUGGUGUUACUGCGAAGGGGGGACGGAGAAGGCUAUGUUAGCCGGGCGACGGUUGUCCCGGUUUAAGCAUGUAGGCUGGUUGUCCAGGCAAAUCCGGAUAAUCAAGGCUGAGGUGUGAUGACGAGGCACUACGGUGCUGAAGUAACAAAUGCCCUGCUUCCAGGAAAAGCCUCUAAGCAUCAGGUAACAUCAAAUCGUACCCCAAACCGACACAGGUGGUCAGGUAGAGAAUACCAAGGCGCUUGAGAGAACUCGGGUGAAGGAACUAGGCAAAAUGGUGCCGUAACUUCGGGAGAAGGCACGCUGGUGUGUAGGUGAAGUCCCUGCGGAUGGAGCUGAGACCAGUCGAAGAUACCAGCUGGCUGCAACUGUUUAUUAAAAACACAGCACUGUGCAAACACGAAAGUGGACGUAUACGGUGUGACGCCUGCCCGGUGCCGGAAGGUUAAUUGAUGGGGUUAUCCGUAAGGAGAAGCUCUUGAUCGAAGCCCCGGUAAACGGCGGCCGUAACUAUAACGGUCCUAAGGUAGCGAAAUUCCUUGUCGGGUAAGUUCCGACCUGCACGAAUGGCGUAAUGAUGGCCAGGCUGUCUCCACCCGAGACUCAGUGAAAUUGAACUCGCUGUGAAGAUGCAGUGUACCCGCGGCAAGACGGAAAGACCCCGUGAACCUUUACUAUAGCUUGACACUGAACAUUGAGCCUUGAUGUGUAGGAUAGGUGGGAGGCUUUGAAGCGUGGACGCCAGUCUGCGUGGAGCCAACCUUGAAAUACCACCCUUUAAUGUUUGAUGUUCUAACGUUGGCCCCUUACCGGGGUUGCGGACAGUGUCUGGUGGGUAGUUUGACUGGGGCGGUCUCCUCCCAAAGCGUAACGGAGGAGCACGAAGGUUAGCUAAUCCUGGUCGGACAUCAGGAGGUUAGUGCAAUGGCAUAAGCUAGCUUGACUGCGAGCGUGACGGCGCGAGCAGGUGCGAAAGCAGGUCAUAGUGAUCCGGUGGUUCUGAAUGGAAGGGCCAUCGCUCAACGGAUAAAAGGUACUCCGGGGAUAACAGGCUGAUACCGCCCAAGAGUUCAUAUCGACGGCGGUGUUUGGCACCUCGAUGUCGGCUCAUCACAUCCUGGGGCUGAAGUAGGUCCCAAGGGUAUGGCUGUUCGCCAUUUAAAGUGGUACGCGAGCUGGGUUUAGAACGUCGUGAGACAGUUCGGUCCCUAUCUGCCGUGGGCGCUGGAGAAUUGAGGGGGGCUGCUCCUAGUACGAGAGGACCGGAGUGGACGCAUCACUGGUGUUCGGGUUGUCAUGCCAAUGGCACUGCCCGGUAGCUAAAUGCGGAAGAGAUAAGUGCUGAAAGCAUCUAAGCACGAAACUUGCCCCGAGAUGAGUUCUCCCUGAGACUUUAAGUCUCCUGAAGGAACGUUAAAGACGAUGACGUUGAUAGGCCGGGUGUGUAAGCGCAGCGAUGCGUUGAGCUAACCGGUACUAAUGAACCGUGAGGCUUAACCUUACAACGCCGAAG
rnacentral:rRNA from 1 species